rnacentral:rRNA from 1 species
UACCAGCACCCCGAGUGUUCGGGCCGUUUAUUGGGCCUAAAGCAUCCGUAGCCGGUUCUACAAGUCUUCCGUUAAAUCCAACUGCUUAACAGGUGGGCUGCGGAAGAUACUAUAGAGCUAGGAGGCGGGAGAGGCAAGCGGUACUCGAUGGGUAGGGGUAAAAUCCGUUGAUCCAUUGAAGACCACCAGUGGCGAAGGCGGCUUGCCAGAACGCGCUCGACGGUGAGGGAUGAAAGCUGGGGGAGCAAACCGG